rnacentral:rRNA from 1 species
GAUGAACGCUGGCGGCGUGCCUAAUACAUGCAAGUCGAGCGAACGGACGAGAAGCUUGCUUCUCUGAUGUUAGCGGCGGACGGGUGAGUAACACGUGGAUAACCUACCUAUAAGACUGGGAUAACUUCGGGAAACCGGAGCUAAUACCGGAUAAUAUUUUGAACCGCAUGGUUCAAAAGUGAAAGACGGCCUUGCGGGAACUAAUCGAGGGUUCCGCGCUGCAUUAGCUAGUUGUUAAGGUAACGGCUUACCAAGGCAACGAUGCAUAGCCGACCUGAGGGGGUGAUAGGCCACACUGGAACUGAGACACGGUCCAGACUCCUACGGGAGGCAGCAGUAGGGAAUCUUCCGCAAUGGGCGAAAGUCUGACGGAGCAACGCCGCGUGAGUGAUGAAGGUCUUCGGAUCGUAAAACUCUGUUAUUAGGGAAGAACAUAUGUGUAAGUAACUGUGCACAGCUUGACGGUACCUAAUCAGAAAGCCACGGCUAACUACGUG